GCCAAGUGACAGACACAGUCAGGUCAAGAGUAUCUUGCUCUCCAAGGCCCAGCCCAGUUCCAGGUGGUGCGGACGCAGGAGACCCAGGAGAUCAGAACUCUCAACAACCAGUUUGCUUCCUUCAUUGACAAGGUGCGGUUCCUGGAGCAGCAGAACAAGGUCCUGGAGACCAAGUGGCACCUGCUGCAGCAACAGGGGUCGAGUGGCAGCCAGCAGGACCUGGAGCCUGUCUUUGAGGCCUGCCUGGAUCAGCUCAGGAAGCAGCUGGAGCAGCUCCAGGGAGAACGAGGGGCUCUGGAUGCUGAGUUGAAGGCCUGCCGGGACCAGGAGGAGGAGUAUAAGUCCAGGUAUGAGGAGGAGGCCCACAGGCGCGCCACACUUGAGAAUGACUUUGUGGUCCUCAAGAAGGAUGUGGAUGGAGUUUUCCUGAGCAAGAUGGAGUUGGAGGGCAAGCUGGAGACUCUGAGAGAGUACAUCUACUUCUUGAAGCAUCUGAAUGAAGAAGAGCUGGGCCAGCUCCAGACCCAGGCCAGCGACACGUCUGUGGUGCUGUCCAUGGACAACAACCGUUACCUGGACUUCAGCAGCAUCAUCACUGAGGUCCGCGCCCGGUAUGAGGAGAUC
rnacentral:sRNA from 1 species